rnacentral:lncRNA from 1 species
GUUGAAGCAAGAAAAGCUGGGCAAGGAGCCUGUGCAAAAUCAAGGCUGUACCACUUCUCAAAGGAACCCAUAAAUGAUUUAGGCCACUGUUCACGAAUGAAAAUGCCUGUGGGGUCCAUGACGUACUGUACAUAUUCCCAUCACUCCAUUUACCGCCCUGCUUGUAUCUGCUGACUUCACUGAACUAUGAGCACCUAGAUGGUAAAACAUAUUCACAUGAAAUUAAGAGAUGGAGUAUUUCAUUGAGAUUAAAAGAAAGCCAUUAAAAGGAAUGAUAAAUUGUGAAAACCGGGUGUGACUGCCUAGCCAGACAUGUACUUCCAAGAUCAGAGACUACGUGCUUCAGUUCAUAAACACAGAGGAAAACCGGCUGGCCUAAUUUAAUGGUGCCCUGGGUGAAGUUUUCAGGGCUUUGCAGGAAAUCUCAGAGGCUCAUUGAUACAAAGAAGUCAGCAAGAAUCAUGACCGAUACUGAGUUUAAUGUGAGAGUUAGGGCACAAAAUGAAAACCAAAAUGGAGGUUUUCGGUUCAAAGAAGAAUUACGAAGAUAUAAAGAAAAUUCUCAUAAUUUAAAGAUUACUAUAAAACAUAAACGUCAAACUUUGUGUGGAAGAGUAAAACUUAUUCCUGUCCUGGGAAAUGAAGUAAAAUGGAAUCCAGGAGUAAUUCUGACUAAAAGUCUGAGUUUACGAACUUCCAGUGCUGCAAAACUGACAAUCUAUUAGGUCUGAGCUAACAUCUGCACCAGUCUUCCUCCAUUUUUAUGUGGGACACUACUACAGCAUGGCUGAUGAGUGAUGUAUGUCCUUGCCUGUGAUAUGAACCCAUGAACCCAGGCCAGCAAAGGGGAGUGCACCAAACUCAACGACUACACCAUGGGGCCAGCCCCUCAAAUAAAGUGUUUUUAUGAAAAAAUAUUUUACAUGGUCAAAUUUGUUUUUUACUUAAUAUUUCAAAUAAAGUGCUUUUAUCAAAUAUUAUUUAGCUUAAAUACUCAUAUUCUAUCAUCUCUGAGAUGAAAUAUAUGCAUUAAUUUUAAGCCUUUGGUUUGGUUUGGAUAUUUGGGUA